UACGUAGGUGGCAAGCGUUGUCCGGAAUUAUUGGGCGUAAAGCGCGCGCAGGCGGUUUCUUAAGUCUGAUGUGAAAGCCCACGGCUCAACCGUGGAGGGUCAUUGGAAACUGGGAAACUUGAGUGCAGAAGAGGAGAGCGGAAUUCCACGUGUAGCGGUGAAAUGCGUAGAGAUGUGGAGGAACACCAGUGGCGAAGGCGGCUCUCUGGUCUGUAACUGACGCUGAGGCGCGAAAGCGUGGGGAGCGAACAGG
rnacentral:rRNA from 1 species